GAUGAACGCUAGCGGGAGGCCUAACACAUGCAAGCCGAGCGGGAUUUGUUGGUUAGCUUGCUAACUAACAAUGAGAGCGGCGUACGGGUGCGUAGCACGUGUGCAACCUGCCUUUAUCUGGGGGAUAGCCUUUCGAAAGGAAGAUUAAUACCCCAUAACAUAUUGAUUGGCAUCAGUUAAUAUUGAAAGCUCCGGCGGAUAGAGAUGGGCACGCGUAAGAUUAGCUAGUUGGUGAGGUAACGGCUCACCAAGGCUGCGAUCUUUAGGGGGCCUGAGAGGGUGAUCCCCCACACUGGUACUGAGACACGGACCAGACUCCUACGGGAGGCAGCAGUGAGGAAUAUUGGACAAUGGGUGAGAGCCUGAUCCAGCCAUCCCGCGUGAAGGACUAAGGACCUAUGGUUUGUAAACUUCUUUUAUACAGGGAUAAACCUACUCUCGUGAGGGUAGCGGAAGGUACUGUAUGAAUAAGCACCGGCUAACUCCGU
rnacentral:rRNA from 1 species